AUGUUAGUGGAAUUAACAUAUGCCCCACCCCAAGUGACUUCUAAAGGGCUAACUCACCACAAGGGAGUCAGAGCAGAUCUUGGACUGAGACCUACAGGACACAGGUGGCUCACCAGGAGAAAGGCAUAGCAGAACCUGGACUGAGACCUACGGGAGACAGCAGGCAGACACACAGGAGGUUGGACGUCGAGAGGAGCACAUCAGUGCAAGAACACAUGGGUGGCUGCCACUUCUCUCCCUUUCCUGAGAGGGAAAAACUCUCGACGCUGAGAGGAAUCCACCAACAGGCACCAGCACUCUGGCAGGCCACCGACCAAUGGAUUGACAUAGAGUUUGGCUGGGGCAGCCAGAGGAGAGCCUGGGCCGCUGAAUAACCCGACUUCAGGGGAAAACUAUUCUCCCUUUUGGCUCCCCCAUCUGCUGAGAGCUACUUCCACUCAAUAAAACCUUGCACUCAUUCUCCAAGA
rnacentral:lncRNA from 10 species